UUAUUUUAUCUUAUUAGCUCAGGAAAUCACUCUAUCAACCUGUAUAGUUGCUCACAACAAUGCAUUGUUCGCUUUGCUGGUGUCAAAUAAUUUUGCUCAGAUAAAAAGCAAUGUGUUUAAGCGAUACAGCAGGGACAAUGUAUACAGUUUGGUUUACUUUGAAAAAUGUCAAAACCAAGCACCCUCAGUUUCUGUAUGAAUCAAAACAAAGCACCCUCUAUAGGUGUAUAUCAUUGACUUUGGUAUUGCUAAGAAAUACAGGGACAUUUCUACACAUCAGCAUAUUCUUUACA